AGAAGGAGGUUGCUUAGAAAGGGUACUAAGGGAUGACAGAGAAGCAACUAUGUUUGAAUGGACUGCAAGUAUAAACCUUGUCAAAAGUGUGGCUGACGCUUUAUCCUAUAUGCACCACGAUUGCUUGCCUCCAAUCGUUCAUCGAGACAUAUCAAGCAAGAACAUCUUGCUGGAUUUAGAGCAUGUUGCUUACAUCUCUGAUUUUGGCACAGCUAGAAUCUUGAAGCCUGACUCUUCCAAUUGGACUUCAUUUGCAGGCACAUUUAGAUACACUACUCCAGAGUUUGCGUAUACAAUGGCAAUGAAUGAGAAAUGUGAUGUUUAUAGCUUCGGAGUCCAGGAUAUCUCGUGAUCUUCGUUCUCUCCUCGACAACACCAAUUGCGCUGGAUACACCGCUGAGGGACGUUCUGGACCAAAGGCUUUCACCUCCUAGAGAUCAAGUUGCAGAAAAACUGGUGCUUGUUGUGAAGCUUGCAAAACAAACCAUAGUCUCGGCCAACCAUGCAACAAGUCUCCCAGGAGCUAUAAAUUCCAAGGAUAUCUUUACAACUCACAAUUGACAAAAUUACCUCGGGACAAAUGGUUAACCAAGCUUGAUUUCACCAUGUCUUACUGUACCAUAAUUUAUCUCAAGAACUUGAAAGGCCAAAGUUGUUUCAAAGUCUAUAGGAAGUUAGGUACUGUUGAUAUAUUCAGAAAUAAAAAAAUCUUUUAGCUGUCAGUUAUUUUGAUGGUUUUACC